CUAUCUUUAGCACAUGUAAUAUAUUUCAAAAUUUACUAUUCAUCCAUAAUUCCUUAAUAAUCCUUAUCAUCUACUUCAUAUAUUACUUUUGUAUUUUUUUUAUAAUUUAGUUAUCAAUUCAAUAGUUCGUAUAGCACUAUAAUUUAUUUUUCAAUGAAACAUAUAACGCAAUAUUCAUCAUCAUAUUCAUUCGACAUUUUCAACUCUAAAACAUAAGCAAAUAUAUCAGCAUCCAAAUCUCGACUCAAUUCGACACAAUUAUGGCAUGUACCUCUAAACUCAAUUCUGAGCUCGAUUUAGUCCGAGAAUCGACUAAACCUGCAAAGCUCUGAUACCACCAAAAUUGUAACACCCCUUACCCGAGACCGUUGCCGGAAUCGAGUACGAGGCAUUACUUAGCUUAUCUUACUAAUUCGGGGCAUAAAAAUUCGUUUUAAAAAUUAAUUUCACUGUUUACAGUAAUCUGUCCAAUCGCGCAACAGUUACUAAAUUGAUUAUAACUCGAGCUACGGAACUCCAAAUUUAAUUUCGUAAAUUUUCCCUGAAACUAGACUCAUAUAUAUACUCACCAUAAAAUUUUUAGAAUUUUUGGUUCAGCAAAUUAGUACAGUUUAUUAGUUAAAGUCUCCCCUGUGUCACCACCAGACUGCCCUGACCUCUAGUCACUAAAAAUAAGUUUUCUCACUAUAGGAUUUUCAUAUGAAGUUCUUACUUGCUUCUAUAGAAAAUAGACUCAUUAAGGAAUCUAAGCAUGUAAAUUUCAACUCAUAACCAUUUUUGUACAAUUUUUAAUUAUUUUCUAAACUCAGAACAGGGGACUCCAAAAACAAUUCUGACCCUAUCUUACUAAAAUUCACAUAUCUUAAAAUAUAAAUUUCUUUUCUCUACACUGUUAUUUUUCCAUGAAAAUAGACUCAACAAGCUUUAAUUCCAUAUAUCAUUCACCCUCUAAUUCAUUUUAUACUAUCUUGGGUGAUUUUUCAAAUUCAAGUCACUAUUGCUGCCUGAAUUCUGUUUCUUUGCAAAAUUUUACCAUUUUAUGACUUUCAUACCUAAUUUAUCACUUAGACUUUUAUAACAAUAAUUAACUUCAUCCUUGACCAUUUAAACAACCAUUCAUCAUCAAAUACUUACACAUCAUUCUAUAGUAAAAUCAUAUUUACAAAUAUACAAAAUUACUAAAUUCCUAUACAUGCCAUAACUAAAAGAAAUGUUCACCACCACAAUUAGCUCAGAAUCGGCUUUGGAUGCUGAUUCAACAAUCCGACUUUGACCUAACCUGCGCACGGAAACAACCGUACGCUGAGUAUGGAAAUACUCAGUGGUAUUACCAUAAUUCGAAUUAAUAACAUUAAUCGAUAAAUUAUAUACAUUUUAUUUAUGUCUACAAUUAUUCAUUAAUUAUCUCAUGCAUUAAAUCAACUUGAUAAUUAAUAACAAUAAGCUAUAAUUCAAAUCUUGUAUUUAAUUGUAUUCAUACCUUAUUUCACUAUCUCAAUUCCAUUGGAUUUUUCUUUACAUCUCAUUCCAAUAGUUCAUUUCAAUUCAUAUACAAUUCAUUUCAUUUAAUUUAUAUUCAAUAUAAAUUUUAUUGCAAUUUGUACUCACUAAUAUCAUAUAACAAAAUUUACUCUUUAUCACAUCAUGAACUUUGGGCUCAUAUCUUUAAAUCUCUUAUUUCGAUUUCCAAUUCACACAUCAAUUCACACUUCACUUUUUCGUUUCUUCCCAUAGCUCAAUCAAUCACAUUUAUUCAAUUUUCUCAUUUCAAUUAUUUACCCCUAUUAACAAGACUCGGACCUUGGCGGAUACACGGAUCCAACCAAACACACCAAAAUGGCACCCAGUGCCUCAUCGGAUAGUUCGAAGCAAUAGUUGACACCCAGUGUCUCAUCGGCCCAGCCGAAGUAAAGUUGGUACCCAGUACCUCAUCGAAUCUAUCCGAAGAAAUAUAGUGACACCCAGUGUCUCAUCGACUCAAGGUCGAAGUAUCCCUGAACUCUUCCAAUCCUAUGGCAUGCCAACUAUAUCCGACUCAGCCCGACUAGUUAAUAGGGUUUCCGAAUCACAUUUCAAUUCAAUCACUUUCUCAUACUUUCAAUUCAAAUCAUUCCCAUUUAAUCACCAUUUGUUUCAAUACAUUUUUCUAUUUCAAAUUCACUUUCGAUUUAAUCGCAAUUCAACUCAGAUUCACUUCCCACUUUCAAAUCAAUAUACAAUUCAAUACCAAUACAUAUUUCAGAUAUUCACAUAUAAUCAUACUUCGAUUCAAUUCAAACCACUUUUCAAUCAAUACACAAUUCACAUAUUCACAUAUCUCAAUUUAAUAUCUCAUUUAUUCAAUUCAUAUUUUAAUUCAUUCAAUUAAAUAUUGAUAUUCUCCUUAUUUUUAUUUACUAACAUAUUAUUCAAAAUUCAAUAAUUACUGUCAAUAAAUUCAAUAUCAAUACGUAUAUAUAUUAUUCAAUUCAAUUAUGAAACUCACCUCAAUUUGCUUAUCGUGUAUAUUAAUUUAAUUUUCAACGAUUAAUAAUUAAAUUCGAAUUAUAGUAAUACUAACCGUAAUUUCUCUCGAGUCACUCCUUGUCCACUUUCUCCUUUCCUUUCUCGGACAAUGACUCGUACACGACAUUAACUACGUAAUUAAACAAUUAAAAAUCAUUAAUACACAAUUUCAUUAAAAUAUUUCCUUUUAUACCUAAACUUUACCCAAAUUCUAAUUUAAUCCCUUACCAAUACUAAUUUUAUUUUUCCCAAUCUAACUCUAUAUUCUCUCUUAAUUCUUACUAAACUCAUAUUUAACUAUUUAAUUUUUAUCAUGUUUUCAUAAUUCCGAAUUUAUUUCAAAUUAAUCCCUAAAAUUCAAAACUUAUAGUUUAAUUUACAAUUCAAUCCUUUAUUCAAUUCCAAUCAAAAUUUCUAUCAAAUACAUCCCUAAUUUAACAAUUUAUUCAACAUGAACCAUGCUUAAUAAUCUACUAACUUUCAAAAUUUCAACUUAAAUCAAGUAGUAUUUUAUUCUAGGAUUUCAAAAAAAAUAUCAAAAUUAAGAGAAAAGGGGAUUAAAUUGACUUACCAAAUUACUUUGAACCUUAAAACCCCGAAUUUCCCUUUUUCUUUUCUUUUAUUUCUUUCUUUCCUUCCUUCCUUCUCUGUUUCGUUUUGCUCUCUGUUUCUUUCUUUCUCCCUUCUCUGUUUUGUUUUGCUCUCUGUUUCUUUUCUUUCUUUC
rnacentral:lncRNA from 1 species